GAUGAACGCUGGCGGCGUGCCUAAUACAUGCAAGUCGAGCGAACGGACGAGAAGCUUGCUUCUCUGAUGUUAGCGGCGGACGGGUGAGUAACACGUGGAUAACCUACCUAUAAGACUGGGAUAACUUCGGGAAACCGGAGCUAAUACCGGAUAAUAUUUUGAACCGCAUGGUUCAAAAGUGAAAGACGGUCUUGCUGUCACUUAUAGAUGGAUCCGCGCUGCAUUAGCUAGUUGGUAAGGUAACGGCUUACCAAGGCAACGAUGCAUAGCCGACCUGAGAGGGUGGGCGCCCACAGUAGAGCUGCACCCGGCCCCGUCCCCCUAGGGGGGGCGGCAGGGGGAACUCUUGCGCAAUGGGGAAAGCCGGGAGGAGGACGCCCGGGGGGAGUGAUGGGUGUGUCGGGAUCAAAAAACUCUUUUAUUGGGGAAAAACAUUUGUGUAAGUAUGUGUGCACCUCUGCGGGUUCCCUAAUAAAAAGGCCGGGACUACCUCCGCC
rnacentral:rRNA from 1 species